rnacentral:rRNA from 1 species
UAGUACUGGGACUCUAACCAUAGGCCAUGAAUCUGGUCUUGGGACACUGUCAGGUGGGCAGUUUGACUGGGGCGGUCGCCUCCCAAAAGGUAACGGAGGCGCUCAAAGGUUCUCUCAGUACGGUCGGCAAUCGUACGUAGAGUGUAAAGGCAAAAGAGAGCUUGAUUGCAAGACAUACAGGUCGAGCAAGGAUGAAAAUCGGACUUAGUGAUCCGGUGGUUCUGCGUGGAAGGGCCAUCGCUCAACGGAUAAAAG